UAUCAUAACAUAGUGUAUUUUAUUUAUUUUAAUUUAAUAAAUCAAAACAUUUAUAGAAUAAGUAAAGGAGAUUAAAAAUUAUUUUAUAAUACACUUUUAUUUAGUACUGUGAAGGAAAGAUAAUUAGUUGUCAAAAAGAAAAAAUUAAAAUUUGUACCUUUUGCAUCAUGGCUUAGCUAGAUUAAAUUUUUAAUAAAAUAUCUCGAAAUCUAAUGGGCUAUUUUUAGUCAAUCUAUUAGGAAAGGAAACUAAUUGUGGCAAAAAUUUUUUUAGAACUGAAAAUAGAAAUGAAAUUUUAUUCGUAUUAGAUGAUAGCUAGUUUUUCUUUAAAGGCAUAUAAGUGCUUUAAACUAUUUUUAUUUCAUAAAUUUUAUAUGGAUAUAAAUAUAAUAGUUUAAUUAGGUUAUCGAGGAUAAGCUCGAAAACGUAAAUAAAAUAUUUUAUACUAAAAUUAAAUUUAAGCUUGAAAAUAGCUAUUAUUCUCGGAUUUUGUUAUAAUUCCAUUAUAAUUUUAUGUAUAUAAUAAAUUUAUUUGAUUUUGAAAGAAGGAAACCUUAAAACAUAAGUUAGGAUAAAAUUAUGCUAAGAUGAGUAUUCAUAAGUUAUUAGUUUUAGAAAUACAAGAUAAAAAUCUUAAAAACAAAUUUUCUCAUAUAAAAUUAUAAAAAGGAACUCGGCAAAUAAGUCAUUCUGCCUGUUUAUCAAAAACAUGGCUCCUUGUAUUAUAAAGAUAGGGAGUCGGACCUGCCCAGUGAAAUUUUUUAACGGCCGCGGUACUCUGACCGUGCAAAGGUAGCAUAAUCAUUUGCCUUAUAAUUGAAGGCUAGUAUGAAUGGUUUGACAAGAAUGAAGCUGUCUCUUUAUAAUUAAUUUGAAUUUUAUUUAUAGGUGAAGAAGCCUAUAUUACAUUGAAAGACAAGAAGACCCUAUCGAGCUUUAAAGAAAUUAAUAAAUUGAAAAAUUGAUAUUAAAAAUAUAAAUUUCGUUAUUAAAUUAUUUUAGUUGGGGCGACUGAGGAACAAACAAAGCUUCCUAUAUAGACAUUAAUACAUUCAAGUACUGAUCCAAAAGCUUUGAUUAAAGAAAUUAGUUACCGUAGGGAUAACAGCAUUAUCUUUUUUGAGAGCUCUAAUCGAAAAAAAGGUUUGUGACCUCGAUGUUGGACCAGAAUAUCCUAAAGAUGCAGCCGUCUUUAAGGGUUGGUCUGUUCGACCAUUAAAAUUCUACGUGAUCUGAGUUCAGACCGGCGUGAGCCAGGUCAGUUUCUAUCUUCAAUUUUCUAUAGUGAACUUAGUACGAAAGGACCAGUUUACUGUAAAAUAUUUACUUCAUUUGAUAAAAUGUAAAGUACUAUUAAAUUAAUAAUAAAAUAU
rnacentral:rRNA from 1 species